UUAGUACGGCGAGUGAGCGGCAAAAGCUCAAAUUUGAAAUCUGGCGUCUUCGACGUCCGAGUUGUAAUUUGAAGAAGGCAACUUUGUAGCUGGUCCUUGUCUAUGUUCCUUGGAACAGGACGUCAUAGAGGGUGAGAAUCCCGUGUGGCGAGGAUCCCAGUUAUUUGUAAAGUGCUUUCGACGAGUCGAGUUGUUUGGGAAUGCAGCUCUAAGUGGGUGGUAAAUUCCAUCUAAAGCUAAAUAUUGGCGAGAGACCGAUAGCGAACAAGUACAGUGAUGGAAAGAUGAAAAGAACUUUGAAAAGAGAGUGAAAAAGUACGUGAAAUUGUUGAAAGGGAAGGGCAUUUGAUCAGACAUGGCGUUUGCUUCGGCUUUCGCUGGGCCAGCAUCAGUUUUAGCGGUUGGAUAAAUCCUCGGGAAUGUGGCUCUGCUUCGGUAGAGUGUUAUAGCCCGUGGGAAUACAGCCAGCUGGGACUGAGGAUUGCGACUUUUGUCAAGGAUGCUGGCGUAAUGGUUAAAUGCCGCCCGUCUU
rnacentral:rRNA from 1 species